GUAUGUAAAUAUUUUUAUGUACAUGAAUUCGUACAUAUGUAUGUACAUAGAUUACAUCAAUGCAACAGCCAGUUUCUGGAAUUUGUUUUAUAAAUAAGUACCUAUGUAUUCCAAAAGAUACCCUCAGGUACAUACUUCUCACAAAAAUUCAAAGCCAAACUACUACGAUAUUAGCAGAUUAUUAUUAGCAUAUAUUAUAUGUAUAGGAUAUUUAUUAGCAACUAACAAUGCGUGUGUUCGAGCAAUGUAAUAAUUACCGCUAUAUUGCAGCCUUGUUAAUUUGUUGCUGAUACUCAAUUGGAAUUGCAUCUGAUUUGUUAGAAAUAAGCGACGGAUUGUCAAACUUUCUCUUUCAUAAAGAGUAACACUACCGCAUUUAUUGUACAUAUAUGUACAUAUGUAUAGAUAGCUCGAAUUGGCCCCAUAUCUACAUU